rnacentral:rRNA from 1 species
UGGGGAAUUUUGGACAAUGGGGGCAACCCUGAUCCAGCGACGCCGCGUGAAGGAUGAAGGUCUUCGGAUUGUAAACUUCUUUUAAAGGGGAUGAAUGCCCUGGUGAAUAGCCAGGGGUGACAGUACUCUUUGAAUAAGCCACGGCUAACUACGUGCCAGCAGCCGCGGUAAUACGUAGGUGGCAAGCGUUACUCGGAAUCACUAGGCGUAAAGCGCAGGUAGGAGGUUUAGUAAGUCUGUUGUGAAAGCUCCCGGCUUAACUGGGAGAGGUCAACGGAAACUGCUAGGCUAGAGUUCGGUAGAGGAAGGUGGAAUUCCCGGUGUAGCGGUGAAAUGCGUAGAUAUCGGGAGGAAUACCUAUGGCGAAAGCAGCCUUCUGGACCGUAACUGACUCUGAUCUGCGAAAGCUAGGGGAGCAAACAGG